GAUUAACGCUGGCGGCGUGCAUAACACAUGCAAGUCGAACGAUGAAACUCAUUAGAUUUCUUCGGAAUGAAAAUGAAUGGAUUAGUGGCGAACGGGUGAGUAACGCGUGAGUAACCUGCCUUACACAAGGGGAUAGCCUCUGGAAACGGAGAAUAAUACCCUAUGAAACCAGACAAUCGCAUGAUAAUCUGGUUAAAAUGUUUAGUGGUGUAAGAUGGACUUGCGUCUGAUUAGCUAGUUGGUGAGAUAAAAGCUCACCAAGGCAACGAUCAGUAGCCGGCUUGAGAGAGUGUACGGCCACAUUGGGACUGAGACACGGCCCAGACUCCUACGGGAGGCAGCAGUGGGGAAUUUUGCACAAUGGGGGAAACCCUGAUGCAGCGACGCCGCGUGAUUUAGAAGGCCUUCGGGUUGUAAAAAUCUUUUGUAUAGGAAGAAAAUGACAGUACUAUACGAAUAAGGUCCGGCUAAUUACGUG
rnacentral:rRNA from 1 species